rnacentral:rRNA from 1 species
CCUACGGGGAGCAGCAGUGGGGAAUAUUGCGCAAUGGGCGAAAGCCUGACGCAGCGACGCCGCGUGAGGGAUGAAGGUCUUCGGAUCGUAAACCUCUGUCAGCAGGGAAGAACGGUCACUGUGCUAAUCAGCAGUGAAUUGACGGUACCUGCAAAGGAAGCACCGGCUAACUCCGUGCCAGCAGCCGCGGUCAUACGGAGGGGGCGAGCGUUAAGCGGAAUUACUGGGCGUAAAGCGCUCGUAGGCGGUAUGUCAAGUCAAGGGUGAAAUCCCCGCGCUCAACGUGGGAACUGCCUUUGAAACUGGCAAACUGGAGUGUGUGAGAGGAUAGUGGAAUUCCAGGUGUAGGAGUGAAAGCCGUAGAUAUCUGGAGGAACAUCAGUGGCGAAGGCGACUAUCUGGCACAUAACUGACGCUGAGGAGCGAAAGCGUGGGUAGCAAACAGGAUUAGAUACCCCUGUAGUC